rnacentral:rRNA from 1 species
GAUGAACGCUAGCUACAGGCUUAACACAUGCAAGUCGAGGGGAAACGAUAUUGGAAGCUUGCUUCCGAUAGGCGCCGACCGGCGCACGGGUGAGUAACGCGUAUCCAACCUGCCCAUCACUUGGGGAUAACCUUGCGAAAGUAAGACUAAUACCCAAUGACGUCUCUAGAAGACAUCUGAAGGAGAUUAAAGAUUUAUCGGUUAUGGAUGGGGAUGCGUCUGAUUAGCUUGUUGGCGGGGUAACGGCCCACCAAGGCGACGAUCAGUAGGGGUUCUGAGAGGAAGGUCCCCCACAUCGGAACUGAGACACGGUCCAAACUCCUACGGGAGGCAGCAGUGAGGAAUAUUGGUCAAUGGACGAGAGUCUGAACCAGCCAAGUAGCGUGCAGGAUGACGGCCCUAUGGGUUGUAAACUGCUUUUAUAAGGGAAUAAAGUGCGAGUCGUGACUCUUUUUGCAUGUACCUUAUGAAUAAGGACCGGCUAAUUCCGUGCCAGCCGCCGCAGUAA